UAUAAAGUAAACAAACACGGUUUUGACUAGAUGGAGUACAGUUUGUCACAAUUGACUAUAAUUUACUUUUCGUAGCAGGUUAGGAGAUCUUACGCAGCAGGUUAUGAUAAUUAACGUAGCAGGUUAUGAUAAUUAGGUUAAGGUUAGGAAAAGGAUUAGGGUUAGCUAUGAAAGUAAAACUACUUUAAACGUAAUUUAACACAAUGUAUCCCAUCUACCAAUGAUCCAGAAGCACUGCGCGCUAGACUGCAGCUAAUUCUAUCCGCGUUAUUUAAAGCGGCUCCAAUUUAGUGUCUUUAUUGGUAGUUUACAUGUAUCCUUGAAAUACACAACGAAAGAACAAAGAUAACAGCUUGUUUGACUUUUGCACGGACGGACAUCUAGCUGGUGGUCAAAGAUGGCAAGUUCUAGGAAAGUGAUUGAACUGUUUUAUGACGUGGUCUCUCCCUACUCAUGGCUUGGCUUUGAGGUCAUGUGCCGUUACAGAAAUGUGUGGAACAUUGACCUUAAACUACGUCCUGCAUUCUUGGGUGGCAUCAUGCAAGGGUCAGGUAAUAAGCCCCCAGGUCUGGUCCCAAACAAGUUCCUGUAUAUGACCACAGACCUGCA